UGAGGAAUAUUGGUCAAUGGGCGCGAGCCUGAACCAGCCAAGUAGCGUGAAGGAUGACUGCCCUAUGGGUUGUAAACUUCUUUUAUAUGGGAAUAAAGUUUUCCACGUGUGGAAUUUUGUAUGUACCAUAUGAAUAAGGAUCGGCUAACUCCGUGCCAGCAGCCGCGGUAAUACGGAGGAUCCGAGCGUUAUCCGGAUUUAUCGGGUUUAAAGGGAGCGUAGAUGGGUUGUUAAGUCAGUUGUGAAAGUUUGCGGCUCAACCGUAAAAUUGCAAUUGAUACUGGCAGCCUUGAGUACAGUUGAGGUAGGCGGAAUUCGUGGUGUAGCGGUGAAAUGCUUAGAUAUCACGAAGAACUCCGAUUGCGAAGGCAGCUCACUGGACUGCAACUGACACUGAUGCUCGAAAGUGUGGGUAUCAAACAGG
rnacentral:rRNA from 1 species